rnacentral:rRNA from 1 species
CUGGCUCAGGAUGAACGCUAGCGGCAGGCUUAACACAUGCAAGUCGAGGGGCAUCGGGAGUAGCAAUACUGCCGGCGACCGGCGCAAGGGUGCGUAACGCGUGAGCAACAUGCCCGUAUCAGGGGGAUAAUCCAUGGAAACGUGGUCUAAUACCCCAUAGUAAUUAUGUAAGGCAUCUUAUAUAAUUUAAAGCUUUGGUGGAUACGGAUUGGCUCGCGUGACAUUAGCUAGAUGGUAAGGUAACGGCUUACCAUGGCUACGAUGUCUAGGGGUUCUGAGAGGAAGGUCCCCCCACACUGGAACUGAGACACGGUCCAGACUCCUACGGGAGGCAGCAGUGAGGAAUAUUGGACAAUGGAUGGAAAUCUGAUCCAGCCAUGCCGCGUGCGAAAGGAAGACCGGCCCUAUGGGUUGUAAACUGCUUUUGUAUGGGAGCAAUAAGGGCUACGCGUAGUCCGAUGAGAGUACCAUACGAAUAAGCACCGGCUAACUCCGUGCCAGCAGCCGC